AUUCAGCUGACGAGUCCCGAAUAGGACGAAACGUGCGUCCUGGAU
rnacentral:hammerhead_ribozyme from 1 species